AACGAACGCUGGCGGCAUGCCUAACACAUGCAAGUCGAACGAGACCUUCGAGUCUAGUGGCGCACGGGUGCGUAACACGUGGGAAUCUGCCCUUUGCUUCGGAAUAACAGUUAGAAAUGACUGCUAAUACCGGAUGAUGUCGAAAGACCAAAGAUUUAUCGGCAAAGGAUGAGCCCGCGUAGGAUUAGGUAGUUGGUGGGGUAAAGGCCUACCAAGCCGACGAUCCUUAGCUGGUCUGAGAGGAUGAUCAGCCACACUGGGACUGAGACACGGCCCAGACUCCUACGGGAGGCAGCAGUGGGGAAUAUUGGACAAUGGGCGAAAGCCUGAUCCAGCAAUGCCGCGUGAGUGAUGAAGGCCUUAGGGUUGUAAAGCUCUUUUACCAGGGAUGAUAAUGACAGUACCUGGAGAAUAAGCUCCGGCUAACUCCGUG
rnacentral:rRNA from 1 species